rnacentral:rRNA from 1 species
UACGUAGGUGGCAAGCGUUGUCCGGAAUUAUUGGGCGUAAAGCGCGCGCAGGCGGUCCUUUAAGUCUGAUGUGAAAGCCCACGGCUCAACCGUGGAGGGUCAUUGGAAACUGGGGGACUUGAGUGCAGAAGAGGAGAGUGGAAUUCCACGUGUAGCGGUGAAAUGCGUAGAGAUGUGGAGGAACACCAGUGGCGAAGGCGGCAUCCUGGACCAACACUGACACUGAGGAGCGAAAGCCAGGGGAGCAAACGGG